CCUGGCCUUGACAUACUAAGAACUUUCCAGAGAUGGAUUGGGUGCCUUCGGGAACUUAGAUACAGGUGCUGCAUGGCUGUCGUCAGCUCGUGUCGUGAGAUGUUGGGUUAAGUCCCGCAACGAGCGCAACCCUUUUCCUAUUUGCCAGCGGGUUAAGCCGGGAACUUUAAGGAUACUGCCAGUGACAAACUGGAGGAAGGCGGGGACGACGUCAAGUCAUCAUGGCCCUUACGGCCAGGGCUACACACGUGCUACAAUGGUCGGUACAAAGGGUUGCUACCUCGCGAGAGGAUGCUAAUCUCAAAAAGCCGAUCGUAGUCCGGAUCGCAGUCUGCAACUCGACUGCGUGAAGUCGGAAUCGCUAGUAAUCGCGGAUCAGAAUGCCGCGGUGAAUACGUUCCCGGGCCUUGUACACACCGCCCGUCACACCAUGGGAGUUUGUUGCACCAGAAGUAGGUAGUCUAACCGCAAGGAGGACGCUUACCACGGUGUGGCCGAUGACUGGGGUGAAGUCGUAACAAGGUAGGCGUAGAUGA
rnacentral:rRNA from 1 species